UGGAUGACGUAGCAAAACCUAAUGUGUUCUCAGUGGUCUUAUACAUUGGCAAAACUCUGGAGAAUUUUCAGCAUGUAUUGAUUUUUCCCCACCAACAGCAUCAGUGAAGAGUAUGUUUUUCAGUAACUCCCAUUCAAGCAAUGGAGCAUGCAACAUACAUGGCUCUUGUCCUUUCAUAAGGUGCUUUCAGCAGCAAAGGGACAAGUUUAUAGUGGUGGACUUUCAAAAGAUUUGUUAUUCAUUAGCCAGUGCUACAAUAGUGAGAGGAGGAGCUCACAGGAGUUUUCCAAGUUUUAUAUUCAAAGCCAUCUCUCACACAACAAAGGAUGACAGGCUCACAGUGACCUCAGACCCAGUCCUAAAUUGUAUUGGUGAAGUUAGAUAGGAAUACACUCUUGUGAUAUCAUGUGGACACUGGAACUGAAAGGGGUAAAUCCCAGUUUUGGUAGGCAUAGCUGAUUGAUCUAGCAUGCCAAAAAAAAGCAAUGUCUAUACUAGCAGUGAAAUGGAUUAGAUAAGCACAUGCUAGGGUUCAGGAUGAAUUCAGAAUUGAUAGCUCAUCCUGCUGCCCAUGUAACUACAUGUUUGCUACCUAGUUUCAGCAUUCUAGGUUGAUCAGAGACAGCACAGAUAUUUCAACCCCAACUAGAAAUUGCUUCUUGAGCUCCAGUGCAGAUAUAGGUAAUUAAUCUCCAUGGUUAAAGUCCCAAGAUAAAGAUAAAUCUGAACUCAAACAGGGAGACAGAGAUAGCAAAUCCCAACUAAGAACUGAUUUUAAAUUGGUUUCACUAGCAUUAUAUCGCUAGUCAGGUUCUAGUCAACAUAAAAUGGCAGAUUAAUUUUGUAUAGUUAAAGUAUUUUGCUGCUCUACUGCUUGAUGUUAAAAAGGGGGAUCUAUAUCUAUGUUUCAUAAUGUUAAUAAUAAGAGAUUUACACAUCUUCAUUUAAUUUUGUUUUUAAAAAGGUUCAAUUGUAAAAAACAAAAAAAACAAACAAACAAAAAAAAAAAAACUUAGGAGAGACAUUUAGAGCUUGCUCAUUCCAAAGACUCUGAAUUCCCUUAGUAAUAUUCCUCAUGAUACUGAGGGAAUAGAGGGCACUUGGCCAUACCUCAAAGGAGGGGCUCAGCACAUUGCAGGAUUGAAUUCCUGUGGAACAAUUAGGUUUUUUUGGUUCAGGAAGGACUCUCUCAAAACUAAUGAGCACACCAACCCAGAGUAAAGCACAUUUUGGGUUAGUUUGAUAGAGUUAGUUUCAAGAUAAACAAUUAUACCAUGAAAAAAAUCAAAUUAAACUUGACAAAAGACUUCUGUAAUUGCUGUAAAGAUUUAUGUAAUGUUUUUAAAGCUCAAGUGAACUAUCAAAUCAAUUGGAAAAAAAAAGAAAAAUCACCCUUUGUUAUCAGGCUGUUGAGUAUAAAAGGCAAUUUAGGGCUCUCUAAGCAUUUACAGUGACGGUGAAACAAGCAUCUAUUGUUCAAAGUUCCCUGUUGCUCUUUAAUGGACCCGGCUCAACGAAUUCAUUGGAGCACAUUU